CAGACAACUUUAUUGUUUAAAAGUUGUAUCUCUUCAGAAGUUUAUAUAUUGAAGCGGUUUUGCGAAGUUUACAUAUUAUGAAUCCAACGUAACGGGGAACGAUAGGUUAGGGAAGCAUCGGUGGUUUAUCGACGCAGGAUCUCUUCUUGUGGUUUCCGGUUAAAGGGAUCAGUGUGGACAUACCUUGCUCUGGCGAUAUAUAUUUCGAUGUCAGAGUUGUUUACAAGCGGUAUUUCAUGUCUUUGUUUGAGACUCUGAGAAAUUGUGUCGCUGUUGGAAGGAGGUUGAGUUUCGUGGGGAUAACAAGGUUCUGUAAUACAUUCGUGUAACUUUUCAUUUCAAAGCUCCGAUGUGAUGACGUGGCUCGGCUCAGCGAUGAGCAACCACGACACUUCUACGGACGGGUUCGAAGGUGUCGGCAACGGAGAAUGAAAGGACCGAGUGGUCGGAGCGGUGAGCAACUGUUUAGCGUUAUUCUCCGGCAGCGUCAAAGAUUUGAACGGAGUUACGGUCGUGAACAGGAAGUUACUUGGCGUAGAAGAAACAGAGGAGUUUCAGAGUUGGUUAAAGAGAGUAGACAGAGAGCUUCUCGGUACUCCGGCGACGGCGAUUCAAGCGGAUAUCACGGUGUCGAAAGACGGUAAUGGCACGGUUAAGACAAUCGAAGAGGCGAUCAAGAAAGCGCCGGAGCAAAGUAGCCGACGAUUCGUCAUCGACGUCAAGGCAGGAAGGUACGAAGAAGAAAAUCUCAAGAUUCAAUCAUCUACGUUGCAAUUCUAUUAAGUAGAUCAAAGUGUUGGGAGAAACAUUGUGUAUCCAAAAGGGUUGACUAAUGGGUUUACAGUACAAGUUAGAAACUUUUAGCUGCUCAUGGUUUUCUGAUGACACUGACAGACAGACACACACUCCUUCCAUUUGAGGUCAGAUGCUCCUUUUUUUCCCCAAAUUGCUUUGAUCACUCUGUUUGAAGUGAAAAUGAUGAGAGAGUCUUCUGCGCAAGUUUAGAUGGGAAGAACAAGUAUUGGAUGGUUUUGUUUGAAAUUUCCAGAUUCAUCAUAUCACAACGUGGAUAUCGUGUGGUGUAAUUGAUCAUUCAAGAUUAAUGGUACCUUUGAAACGUUGUAACUAAGCGUAUAUUAUUGGGACAUCCAUAAAGAGGAAACCUCUGAUGUUAGCUAUAUGACGAUAAAUGUUUUGGAAUAGAAUAAAUAUUCAAGAAGAAGCAAAUGAGAAACAAGAGGAGAAGAAGGAUAGAGCACGUGUAGUAUAAUUAUGGAGUCGGAGUCGGAGCCAGCGAAAGAGGUUAUCACCGUGAUAGAUAAGCAUUGGGGUGAGAGAUAUAAGGUUGUUGUGGUCAUGGCAUGAUGGUGUGGUUGUCAGAACGAGAUCAGAGCUAAGGCGAGAAGAAAACAAAGGUGGAGAAGAGGAAGAAGAGCACAGUUCUGAGAUUGGUUGUUGAGAGGAGGAUUUCGUUGAUAUUUGAGUUAAAGAGAAUAUACACGUAUUGAUUUUUAAAAUAGGAUAUGCCACGUAAACCAUAGAAACUGACGUGACUGCCAUCAGAGUUAAGACCUUGUGGUGAAGAACUUUCCUUCCUACGCAAGCAUCAGAUGCAGCAGCUCAACUCUGGGAGGUUCAACUGGUCUGUUGCAGCAAUUUCAAGAGAACGUGGAAGGUUCAUUUGUACGCCGAUAUGACUGAAAUUUUGAAUAGAUGUACAGGACACUGCAGAUUCAUGAUUCAACGGUGGGAUU